AUACGGAGGAUGCGAGCGUUAUCCGGAUUUAUUGGGUUUAAAGGGUGCGUAGGCUGUGCGUUAAGUCAGGGGUGAAAUGCCGUCGCUCAACGACGGAGCUGCCCUUGAUACUGGCGUGCUGGAGUACGGAUGCCGUUGGAGGAAUGAGUGAUGUAGCGGUGAAAUGCUUAGAUAUCACUCAGAACACCGAUUGCGAAGGCUUCUGACGAAUCCGUCAAUGACGGUGAGGCACGAAAGCGUGGUGAUAGAGCAGGAUUAGAUACCCUGGUAUGCCACGCCGUAAACGAUGAUGACUAACCGUCGGCGAUAGACAGCCGGUGGCCAAGCGAAAGCGAUAAGUCAUCCACCUGGGGAGUACGUCGGCGACGAUGAAACUCAAAUGAAUUGACGGGG
rnacentral:rRNA from 1 species